rnacentral:rRNA from 1 species
AGAUCUGGUCAGGAUGAACGCUAGCGGCAGGCUUAACACAUGCAAGUCAGGGGGCAUCGGGAGUAGCAAUACUGCCGGCGACCGGCGCAAGGGUGCGUAACGCGUGAGCAACAUGCCCGUAUCAGGGGGGAUAAUCCAUGGAAACGUGGUCUAAUACCCCAUAGUAAUUAUGUAAGGCAUCUUAUAUAAUUUAAAGCUUUGGUGGAUACGGAUUGGCUCGCGUGACAUUAGCUGGAUGGUAAGGUAACGGCUUACCAUGGCUACGAUGUCUAGGGGUUCUGAGAGGAAGGUCCCCCCACACUGGAACUGAGACACGGUCCAGACUCCUACGGGAGGCAGCAGUGAGGAAUAUUGGACAAUGGAUGGAAAUCCGAUCCAGCCAUGCCGCGUGCAGGAAAGACGGCCCUAUGGGUUGUAAACUGCUUUUGUAUGGGAGCAAUAAGGGCUACGUGUAGUCCGAUGAGAGUACCAUACGAAUAAGCACCGGCUAACUCCGUGCCAGCAGCCGC